rnacentral:misc_RNA from 1 species
AAGACUAUAGACCUGCGGAGUACCUGCGGAGGGAUCAUUAUCGAGUGUGACCCUCCUGUAAAAAAGGGGGUACCUCCCGUCCUUUUGCUAGGCCCUCCCCCUCCAAAAAUUUUUUUGACAGGGGGAAGCUUUUUCAAACCUUCUGCUUCGGUGGGUUUUAAACCCCGCCGGAACAACCUCAAAAAUUCUUUAUAAUUGUUCUGUCCGAGAAAAAUUUUAUUAAAAUGAAAAAACUUUCAA